rnacentral:rRNA from 1 species
CCUACGGGAGGCAGCAGUGGGGAAUAUUGGACAAUGGGCGAAAGCCUGAUCCAGCAAUACCGCGUGUGUGAAGAAGGCCUUAGGGUUGUAAAGCACUUUUAAUCGGGAGGAACACCUGGUGGUUAAUACCCAUCAGCAUGACAUUACCGAUAGAAAAAGCACCGGCUAACUCCGUGCCAGCAGCCGCGGUAAUACGGAGGGUGCAAGCGUUAAUCGGAAUUACUGGGCGUAAAGCGUGCGUAGGUGGUUAUUUAAGUCAGAUGUGAAAGCCCCGGGCUCAACCUGGGAAUGGCAUUUGAUACUGGGUAACUCGAGUUUGGGAGAGGCAAGUGGAAUUUCAGGUGUAGCGGUGAAAUGCGUAGAGAUCUGAAGGAACACCAGUGGCGAAGGCGGCUUGCUGGCCUAAAACUGACGCUGAGGCACGAAAGCAUGGGUAGCAAACAGGAUUAGAUACCCUUGUAGUC